GCUUCAGGUGAAAAAAAAUAGCUCUAACUUUCUUUAUAGCUUAUACUAUAUGCUUAUUGCUUAUUACUUAUUACUUAGCUUACUUAGCUACUAAAAUAUUCCUUUUACAGUUUUUCAGAAGGCCAUUAAGAUACAUUCUUACAUAGCAAUGAGGCCAUUGUUGUUGAACAUGAUGAGAAGAUAUACAAAACAAAGAAAUUUGGUGAAACCGGCUAAGACAAGAUUUGCAACGGCCUUUCUUAACUUUGCAAUCUUUUUACAUGCAAAAGAAAAACUUGAGAACUAUGAUCUUCUCAACCGAAUGGACAGAAAGUAGAUUUGCAAAGGAACUUUUGGGAAAAGAAGUUGUCAGACAUCUUACUUCUACAUCUUUUUGGAAUGAUGUUGUUAGGGCACUUAAAGUUGGUUCUCCUUUGAUAGUAGCGCUUCGCUUGGUGGAUGGAGGAAAAAAACCAUCAAUGGGCUAUAUUUAUGAAGCAAUGGAUAGAGCCAAAGAAGCUAUUGAAAAGGGUUUUCAUGGUGAUCGGAAGCAAUAUGAGAAAGUUUUCGAAAUCAUUGAUCGGCGGUGGACGGACCAACUUCAUAGACCUUUGCAUGCGGCGGGCCAUAUUUUGAACCGGAAUGUUUUACACUAAUUAUCAAAAUAAGACUUUAUCAACGAAGUGUGGCAAGGUUACCUUGAAUGUGUUGGUAAGAUGGUCCCUAAUGGAACACAAGAUGCUCUCAUCAAAGAGCUUCGUAUGUAUAAACAUGCAAUGGGGACUUUUGGUAUGCCUCAGGCUAUAAGAAACAGAGACAAAACAUCCCCUUCUGAAUGGUGGUCGGUAUUUGGUAAUCAUACCCCAAACUUGCAACAGCUUGCCAUAAGAGUAUUAAGUUUAACUUGUAGCGCAUCCGGAUGCGAGAGAAAUUGGAGCGUGUUUGAACAUGUGAGAAGAAGAUUUAUUAUAUUCUAAUUUCUAAAUACAUUAUUAUUAGUAUCUACUAAUUAGUUUCUACAACUUAUGCGCGAUUCAUACCAAAAAGAGGAAUAGGCUUGAACUAUCGCGUCUCAACAAUCUAGUGUACAUUAAGUACAAUAGAACAUUGAGGCGUCGUUAUGAUGUUGGCGAUACCGUUGAUCCAAUUCUGUUGGAUAAUAUUGACGAAGCAAAUGAAUGGUUAAUUGGAUGCCCCCAAAAUGAAGAAGAGGAACUAGUAUAUGAGGGAUGUGAUCUUGAUUGGGGUACUGUUUCUAGGGCGUGCAGAGUUGAGGAGAAUAUCUAUGGUCUUAGGGCGGUUCUUCAAGUUCAAGGUCACAUAACAAGGGCAAAAGAGUAGCUACUACUGCUACAAGCUCACUUCGGUCUCGGUGCUUAAUUGAUGAAAACUCCGAGUCCGAGACCGAGAUUGACACCGAGACCGAGCCCGAGCCCGAGGAGGAAGAAGAUGAGGAGCAAUAUAAUGUUGAGAAUCUUGGAUAUCAAGAAUUUGGAAAUCUUGAAGAUCUUGAAUUUGAAUAGACUUUUAGUAUUGCACUAUUGCUUUAAUUUUAGUGUUGCUUGUCUUGUCACUUAUGAAUUAUUGAGUCAUUGACUUAUUCAAGUUCUAGACUUUUAGUAUCUACUAUCUACCUUUAAUUUUUGAAUUGAAAUAUUUGCUAAUAUGUUAUUGCUAGUGA